rnacentral:rRNA from 1 species
ACGGGUGAGUAACGCGUGGGAAUCUACCGUGCCCUGCGGAAUAGCUCCGGGAAGCUGGAAUUAAUACCGCAUACGCCCUACGGGGGAAAGAUUUAUCGGGGUAUGAUGAGCCCGCGUUGGAUUAGCUAGUUGGUGGGGUAAAGGCCUACCAAGGCGACGAUCCAUAGCUGGUCUGAGAGGAUGAUCAGCCACAUUGGGACUGAGACACGGCCCAAACUCCUACGGGAGGCAGCAGUGGGGAAUAUUGGACAAUGGGCGCAAGCCUGAUCCAGCCAUGCCGCGUGAGUGAUGAAGGCCUUAGGGUUGUAAAGCUCUUUCACCGGAGAAGAUAAUGACGGUAUCCGGAGAAGAAGCCCCGGCUAACUUCGUGCCAGCAGCCGCGGUAAUACGAAGGGGGCUAGCGUUGUUCGGAAUUACUGGGCGUAAAGCGCACGUAGGCGGAUAUUUAAGUCAGGGGUGAAAUCCCAGAGCUCAACUCUGGAACUGCCUUUGAUACUGGGUAUCUUGAGUAUGGAAGAGGUAAGUGGAAUUCCGAGUGUAGAGGUGAAAUUCGUAGA